ensembl:misc_RNA Y_RNA Y RNA
GGCUGGUCUGAAAGUAGUGAGUUAUCUCAAUUGAUUGUUCACAGUCAGUUACAGAUCGAACUUCUUAUUCUACUCUUUCCCUCCUUCUCACGACUGCUUUCGACUAGUCUUUU